UGGGAUUGAGCUCAGUAGUAGAGCACGUGAUUACCAUUCAUAAGGCCCUGGGUUCAAUCCCCAAUACUAA
rnacentral:tRNA from 1 species